UUGAAAGGGAAACGAUUGAAGUCAGUCGUGCUGGCGCGAAAUCAACCUUCUCGUCUUGAGAUCACAUGGCGUGGCGAGCCUCAAAACCGUCACGAAGCGUGAACUCUUGGUGAAAUGGAGCACUUUCGUGUCCGCUGGUUAACAUCAAUUUCGAACGUCAUAAAAAGGCUGGAGGGAUGUGGCUCCUUCGGGAGUGUUAUAACCUUUAGCGGAAUGUGGUGUUCGGGAUUGAGGAUUGCAACGAAUACCUUUAGGGCUGUUCCACCUGGCUUCUCUUUGGUAUCCUGGUGACGACAGCUUGCUGUCGUCGUUAGGAUUCGCCUUUGAACAGGUUAGAGUGUGAGCAAAUUCGUUAAGGAUGUUGACGUA
rnacentral:rRNA from 1 species